rnacentral:rRNA from 1 species
AGAGUUUCGAUCCUGGCUCAGAUUGAACGCUGGCGGCAGGCCUAACACAUGCAAGUCGAGCGGCAGCGCGGGGUAACCUGGCGGCGAGCGGCGAACGGGUGAGUAAUACAUGGGAAUCUGCCUAGUAGUGGGGGAUAACUUCGGGAAACUGGAGGUAAUACCGCAUACGCCCUACGGGGGAAAGCAGGGGAUCUUCGGACCUUGCGCUAUUAGAUGAGCCUGCGUCCGAUUAGCUAGUUGGUGGGGUAAAGGCCUACCAAGGCGACGAUCGGUAACUGGUCUGAGAGGAUGAUCAGUCACACUGGAACUGAGACACGGUCCAGACUCCUACGGGAGGCAGCAGUGGGGAAUAUUGGACAAUGGGCGCAAGCCUGAUCCAGCCAUGCCGCGUGUGUGAAGAAGGCCUUCGGGUUGUAAAGCACUUUAAGCGGGGAGGAAGGCCUGAUGGCUAAUAUCCAUCAGGAUUGACGUUACCCGCAGAAUAAGCACCGGCAAACUUCGUG